AACGAACGCUGGCGGCAGGCCUAACACAUGCAAGUCGAGCGGACGUAGCAAUACGUCAGCGGCGCACGGGUGAGUAACGCGUGGGAACCUGCCCUUUGGUUCGGAACAACCCUGGGAAACUAGGGCUAAUACCGGAUAAGCCCCGUAAGGGGGAAAGAUUUAUCGCCGAAGGAGGGGCCCGCGUCCGAUUAGCUAGUUGGUGGGGUAAAUGGCCUACCAAGGCUUCGAUCGGUAGCCGGUCUGAGAGGACGAUCGGCCACACUGGGACUGAGACACGGCCCAGACUCCUACGGGAGGCAGCAGUGGGGAAUAUUGGACAAUGGGGGAAACCCUGAUCCAGCCAUGCCGCGUGGGU
rnacentral:rRNA from 1 species